GCAGUAUUUGGCUAGAAGUGAAUAAUAGUACUUUGUUCUUUUUUCUAAUUAUGUUUAGUUUUAUGAAAAAAAGCGAUACUAAUUUCCUAUCUGUGGAAGUGACAAAAAAUUUUCUUUUAACAUAUGCUUAAGUUAAACAAAGUGUAUUUAAGGAAAAGCAGUAAAUCAGUUAUCUAUCGCUGUUUAACAAGCUACCCCAAACAUAGUGGCUUAAGCAAUGAUGGUUUAUUAGGAUUCUAUGGGUUAGCUAGGCUCACGUGGGCAAUUUUUCUCCUCCAUGUGAUGUCUGCUGGCGUCAUUCCUUCAUCUUGACAACUUGGAUGGUGCUGGAAGGUCCAAGAUGCCUUCCCUCCUGUCUGCCAGCCCAGCUGGAGUGGGUGGAAUGGCUGAAACUGGCUGAGCCUCUCUCUCUCCACGUGGCCUCUCAUCACUUAGUAGCCCGGCGGGGCUUUUUUACAGCACGGAUGGAUCUCCGGAGAUUAAAGAAGAAAGCUGCAACGUCUCUUAAGGCCUGGACCUAGAAGUCAAAAAACAUUACUCCUGCUACAUUUCAUUGGUUAAAGCAAGUGGCAGGACAAGUCUAGACCCAAAGGGCGGAGAAAUAGAAUUUACAUCCUUUUGGGAGGUUAGUGGCACACCUGUUCAGAGAUGGAAAGAAUCUUUGGCGAUAAUUUUGCAAAUAACCUAGCACAAGUGAUAAGCAAGAGGGCAAAUUGUAGCAGAUAUGGCAAAAAUUGUGAGUGUUAUUCAGAUGACUGUAUUUGGAAAUGCUAUAUUAAUCUAAUACCUACAUAGUGCACUAGAUAGUCCAUUACCUUUUUUAGUACCGUGUGCAAGCCAAAUGCAGUGCUACACACAAAGGGAUUGAAGGAAGAAGAUAAAACAUGGUACAAAUGUGUCCUAGAAUGGCAUACACUCUAGUGAGGAAGACAGGUGUGUAAGUAAAGAGUUAGAACAAAAUAACCAUGAGGCUUGUUAUAGUAAAGGGUUUAAAAUAUAGAGUCCUGACAUUUUACAUAGAAGUUUAAAAGCUUGUGGAUUUUGGGGGGGCUUAUGACCUUUAUCAGAUUCUCAAGAAAGUGUGAGACCCUAAAACGACCUAGAAAGCACUCACUGAAUCAAGAGACAUACGGGUGUGAUGUUCAGGGAUGACAGCUGCCAACCGCAGUGGUGAGGGAAAGGCGUCACAGAGGCAGUGACACUUUCGGGUGGGAAGGAGCCAUGACCGAAGAGAAAAAGCUGGCUUGAGUUGGAAGCCACUUAGAUGGGCGAGGGGAUGGAUGAGAUGCACAAAGGGAAAGCAGGAGGAAAAUGGUGAAAGAGGAUAGGAAUGUGGGGAGUUGGAGAAAGAAGAGAGAGAAGUUAAUUCUAGGAUGACCGAAUUUUCUAGCUGGGGAGAAUGGUAGAUGGUAGAACAUAAAUGAGGAAGAGUAGAUUUUCUGGGAACUCUUCGCAGAAUUCAGCUUUUUCCAAGUUGUAAUUGAGGCGCCCACAUGCUAAACCCAUAAAUAAUUGGAAACAGAUCUGGAACUUUCCUACCUUGUGCCAGGCAUCUUUAUAGGAAUUGGGUAUAAAACAGUGAGUAUCCUAAGAGAGGUGAUGCCCAUGUUCCCAUGGAGUUCAUAUUCUAGGAGGGCUGGGGUCUGGGGGAAGAUGGGCACAGAGACAAUUAGGAUGUAAAAAGUUCAUACAAAUUGUAUCUAAUGUUAAGUGCCAAAAAUAAAAUAAAUCUAAUUAAUGAAAUAGAGAGGGUUGGGGCAGCUACUUUAUCUAGGGUAAUAUGGUAAUUGAAGUCAGCUUUUUGGAAUAUAACCCAAAGCUAGCUGGGAGGCCCUUCUAACUUAAUAAGGUAGGGAAAUGAUACUAACAGAUUAACUUUUGCAAUGUGAGUUGGUCUCACCCAGAGACCAGAUCGUUGUGAGGGACUCCUCCCCAGCCACCUCCACCCACAGACAUCUGAAUCUUCCCUGUGUAGCCAUGGAACCAUGGGGAGUAGAUAAGGAGUGUAACUAGAAACCCGCUCUGAUGGUCAGGAUACCAGAGAAGUGGAGACCACAGGGAGAGAACUCUAGGGGAAAGGAAGAGUAUGCAUAGAAGAGUGGCAAUGGGGGGCUACUCACUGGCUGUUGCUGGGGUACCAUCUGGGUUUUGGAUGUGUUGCUUUGAGGUAGUGGUAGGACAUUAUCCUCUCUCACCAUCCACAGGCAGUUGUCUGAACCCUGGGUUGAGAAUAGAGUUGCCUCUGGAUCAGUCCACCACCGGGAGACAUUGUCUUCUGAUCAUUUUACUCCAUCCACACCCAGAAAUUCUUACUGGCACCUCUUCGUGUGCUGCUGACUUGGGCAGUCCCCGGUGCCCAUGCUUUGGACGUGGACUAAUCACUAUCACCUGGCCCUUUGUUGUGGAUGGAGGUUCCACUCAGGCGUGUUGGACAGAAGGCACCCUCCCUUGCUGCCAUGUUUUACCCUAGCCCCUCAUUAAUCUGUUCAAGAAAUCACUUCUCUUUCUACCCCUAAUUAUGCCUCCGGGUACUUUACGAUCCACACAGGAUUUAAUUUGAAAACUGAAUGUAGUCGACAUGGAAGAUUGAAAACUCUGGAUUUAGUUCUCUUGCCUCUCUCACUUUGCUGGCAUAGAGCUUGUCAUCGAAGACCAAGAGUCAGUAGGUCAAUGGCCCAAUACAAUAGUCCGUGUCUUUUAUGCUGGAAAUAUCUGUAGAGAGGGAAUCUUAGACUCCUAUAAGUGAAAUUCUUAACAAUACUAAUUGUUUGCUUACCUGCAAUGUACGGAUUGUCAA